ACGCUCGACACCUACGGGAGGCAGCAGUGGGGAAUAUUGCACAAUGGGGGAAACCCUGAUGCAGCGACGCCGCGUGAGCGAAGAAGUAUUUCGGUAUGUAAAGCUCUAUCAGCAGGGAAGAAACUGACGGUACCUGACUAAGAAGCACCGGCUAAAUACGUGCCCGCAGCCGCGGUAAUCUGAGGCGGCUGGCAAGGC
rnacentral:rRNA from 1 species